CUGAAUUCCACCCGUUUUACUCAUACCAUUUUCCUCCAUAUCCCCCUCAACAACACUAUUUCCCAACAUCAGCCCCCACUACCUCACCUAAACACACAAAUUCCCCUCAACCUGCCACCCAAGCCCUGCGUAUGCCACCUAAAGGAGACCCCCAGGUCCCACACACACCUGAAUUCCACCAGUUUCACCCGUACCAUUUUCCUCCGUAUCCCCCUCGACGCCAUUUCCCAAAAUCAGCCCCCACUACCUCACCUAAACACACACAAUCCCCUCAAGCUGUCACCCAGGUCCUGCAUAUGCCACCUAAAGGAGACCCCCAGGUCCCACACACACCUGAAUUCCACCCGUACCAUUUUCCUCCGUAUCCCCAUCAGCCGUAUUUCCCAACAUCAGCCCCCACUACCUCACCUAAACACACAAAUUCCCCUCAACCUGCCACCCAAGCCCUGCAUAUGCCACCUAAAGGAUACCCCCAGGUCCCACAAAUGCCUGACUUCAAAAUGUUUUACCCGUACCAUUUUACUACACAUCUCCCUCAACCUUAUUUCCCAUCAGCCUCUACAACCACACCUAAACAAACAAAUCAGGCCCUGCAUAUGCCACCUAAAGGAUACCCUCAGGUCCCACUGAGUUACCAGUUCCCCCAAUACAAUUUCCCAGGGUUUUUCCCUCAACGCUCUGUCCCAAGAGCACCCCCCGGGAUAGCCAGCCAACUGGAUAACCAGAAUAACCCCCAGAAAUAUCAUUACUCAGAUUCCUCCUACCGUCAAAAGUCAGCCACUCCUUCAGUAACUGCUAGCACUAUCCCUGGCACCACACCCCAGGCCCAACCCAAGCAGCCCUUCAUGCAAUAUGACCAGUACCCGAUGGUUCGCAGCUGGAAUCCGUAUGCUUCUGCUCUGUUCCCACCCCAUUAUGGAACGGCGCCGUAUCAUUCUCAAGGGCCUAGGGAGUAACUUAUGGUGGAAUCUACAGUUUCCAGCCAUUACUUGUGAAGUGUAAAAUAAAUUUACUAAAUGUA